rnacentral:lncRNA from 1 species
CUAGAUAGACCGAAACAAAAGAUAAGGGGAAACACUUGAAAUUUCGAAAACAAAACAAAAAGAGAAUUGAAGGGGCAAAUGGAAGCAAUGGGGGAUUUUGGCUGAAAACAAAAGAAAAAGAAAAGGUGGAGAGGGAAAAAUUCGGCAGGUAGAGGGAAAGCACUUGAAAUCUCGACAGCAACACAAGAAGAUUGAAGUCAAGAGAAAACGAAAAGGGGGUGGGGAAGAAAAUGACAGAAUUCGACUAUGGAGGCAGAAAAAAAUAAAAAAUAAAAAUGAAAGAUUGUAAAGGAGAGCUUUGCAGAGAUUUUUGAAAUCAAAGGGUAACUCCCCAAACUCCUUGAUUUACUCCACUAAGCCACAUCCAUUCCAACCACUCAGCAUCCUAGUCCAACUCAAACGCCUUCACUCCUUACUUUUCUCCCCAAAUCCCUCAAUCCACUCCCCAAAAACCGUCCACCCCUCCCUCAACCACCUAAUUCAAAUUCCACUCCAACUCUUAAGUAUCUUGGUUAGACUAAAACACCCACACGACACUAGC